UGCGAAGCAACGCCGUCGGCCGGGGAUUCGCGCGCGACGCUUGCCGUUUGCCGUCGUCGUCUGCGUGAUUUUAACGACGAGACAAGCGUCACGGCCACGAGGCCAGAUUUCCAACGGGUUCGACGCGACCGGUAACGAGCUCCUCUCUUCUUUUCAUCAUCGGCUAACAACGUUUUCAACAGCGACGGUUCGACUGCCUUCUCCUCUUUUUGCUCGAGGAAACUAUAAAAUGAAAUAUUCUGCGAUGAGAAAUAGAAUUGUCCAACUGAAAUAAUAACAGGAAUGAAUUAUUACACUUUGACGAGACGAAAGACAAAUUUAUCCAAGUCAAAGCUAUAAAGAUCACCCAUGAAUUCGAUUCAGUGGUAUUAAUAACUAAAUCUUGUCAUCGAUUGGAAGAUACGGAUUAAGGCGAGGAGAUAUCCACGGAACGAUAGGGGGCAAAAUACGGUAAUGAGAUUAGAAACCACCCUGUUGGCAGAAUAAACGGCCUGGAGGUAACACACAUUUCUAAGGUCUCUACAGACCAAGAUUCCGCCGUUGUUCGAUUCUGGGGCCACCGUAUCGCCUAAUAAAGCUAAUGCAGAUAAUAAGAUCUAUAAACAAUAGAGUUUCUAGUUUGGCUGGGACGUUACGUGCAUCUGUGUACUUGUUCGCUGAAAGGUAUUGCAAAGUCGUAGUUGAGUAAAUAUUGUAAACAAAUCGUGAACAAUGAUAAAGGUCGACUCUGUUUUUUUAAUGUUGCACUGUCUUUCGUCACCUUUCGUUCAUUCACCGCGUACUUCCUCACACGUUCUUGUAUUCUUACAUGACCUUUAUAUGUUUAAUAAAUAGUUCUUCACA